rnacentral:rRNA from 1 species
CUACGGGAGGCAGCAGUGAGGAAUAUUGCACAAUGGGGGGAACCCUGAUGCAGCAACGCCGCGUGGAGGAUGACGCAUUUCGGUGUGUAAACUCCUUUUAUAUGUCAAGAAAAUGACGGUAGCAUAUGAAUAAGCACCGGCUAACUCCGUGCCAGCAGCCGCGGUAAUAUGGGAGGGGCAAGCGUUACUAGGAAUCACUGGGCGUAAAGGACGCGUAGGCGGGUUGGAAAGUCAGGUGUGAAAUCCUACAGCUUAACUGUAGAACUGCACUUGAAACUUCUAAUCUAGAGUAUGGGAGGGGGAGAUGGAAUUAGUGGUGUAGGGGUAAAAUCCGUAGAUAUCACUAGGAAUACCUAAAGCGAAGGCGAUCUCCUGGAACAUUACUGACGCUAAGGCGUGAAAGCGUGGGGAGCAAACAGGAUUAGAUACCCUGGUAGUC